rnacentral:lncRNA from 1 species
GCACCUUCGCAGCCCUGAGCAUCAUCCCCCUGGGUGCCCCCAUCCCCGCAUCCCGCGGCCGUGGGGUGCCAGGGGGACGAGCCGCAGAGACCCCCCCCCCCUUACCCAGCAGCUUUUCCAAAAGGACCCCAAGCAGGAAGGGGGGGGGGGGUCCGCCCCAAAGCCCCAACCCCAAACCGUGUCCUCGUGGGCCCCCAACACCUCUGGGUGGCAGCAGGAGCCGGGCACCCAUCGGAGCCGGGGUCCCAGCGCCCUCACCCCGUGGGCACCGCACCGUCCCCGAGGCCAGGCAGCCCGUGUCCCCUGGGGCCGGGUGCCCCCGCUGGGGGAAGGGGUGCGCGGGGGAGAGCGGAGCCCGAUUUGGGAGAGCUCCGUGGGCUGGGUUUGUGUCUCAGCAUCUCUCCCUGCCACCCGGGGAGGUAGGAGCUGAAUUAAUCGCGAUCAAUUAGUGCUGCUUGCAGCCACCGGCUCCCGCCCUGCACCAGCUUUGUGCCGUCGCGCCCAGCAUGGGGGGGCCCGGCGUCCCCGGCAGCACAUGGGGGGGGACCUCGGGGAGCGCAGCCCCUCCGGACCCUGCGCGCACCCCCUUGCUGGGGACAGGGGACGGGCAGGGACAGCGUGGGCACCCCGUGGGGACGCGUCGGAUUCGGAGGGGGGCGGCGAUGCGGGGGGCGUGGGGGGGGGGACGCAUGGGCCCCCGGCGGCCCCGCUCUCGGCAGAGCUCGGAGUGGGGUGGCAGGGGUCCGGGCGGCCGGAUCCUGCAGUAUACUGCAGCAAAUGCCCUGCAAUCUGCAUCCGAAUGAGUCCCACCUUCCUUCCCCCGCAACGUGCUGCCCUGGGCUACAGCUAAUCUAUUGUGCGCUGGGCUGCAGCCAGCGCGAGCUGCAAUACAGUAAAUCCUUCUGCAGUAUCCUGCAAGGGGACCGAGCCCAGCCGCAGCCGCUGCCUCCUCCCAGACAAAGCCUGGGGCCCGCGGGGGGCCGGGGCGCAGCGGUGCUGCCCGGGACGGGGACGAGGACGGGGACGCGGGAGGGCCGUGGGCGCCCGCGGCGGCUUCCUGCUGGCCGAGGUGGGAGGACGCGGCCCUGAGUGGGCUGCGAAGUUCCCCGGGGACUUUUCAAGGGACUUUUGGCGGCGCUGAGCCCCCAGUUCCCCCCCCCCACCCC